GGUGAGGAUGGGGGUUAGUGCGGCUCAGGUUAGGGUCAGUGCAGGUCAUGUUGGGGGUUAGUGUGGGUCAGGUUGGAGGUCAGUGCAGGUCAGGUUAGGGGUCAGCUUGGUGGUUAGUGUGGGUCAGCUUGGGCGUCAGUGCAGGUCAGGUUAGGGGUCAGCUUGGGGGUUAGUUUGGGUCAGGUUGGGGGUCAGUGUGGGUGAGGAUGGGGGUCAGUGCAGGUCAGGUUGGGGGUCAGGUAGAAGGUCAUCUUGGGGGUUAUUUUGGGUCAGGUUGGGGGUCAGUGCAGGUCAGGUUGGGGAUCAGUGUGGGUCAGGUUGGGAGUCAGGUUGGGAGUGAGUGUGGGUCAGGUUGGGGGUCAGGUUGGGGGUCAGUGGGGG
ensembl:lncRNA